GCUGGGCGUGGUGGUGCAUGCUUGUAGCCCCAGCUACUAGGGAUGCUGAGGUGGGAGGAUCGCUUGAGCCCAGGAGUUCUGGGCUGUAGUGCACUAUGCUGAUCAGGUGUCCACACUAAGUUCGGCAUCAAUAUAGUGACCUCCUGGGAGCGGGGGACCACCAGGUUGCCUAAGAAGAGGUGAACUGGCCGAGGUCAGAAACGGAGCAGGUCAAAACUCUUGUGCUGAUCAGUAGUGGCAUUGUACCUGUGAAUAGCCACUGCACUCCAGCCUGGACAACAUAGUGAGACCCUGUCUCUA
ensembl:misc_RNA Metazoa_SRP Metazoan signal recognition particle RNA